CUAAUACAUGCAAGUCGAACGAAUUUGCGGAAGGAGCUUGCUCUGGAAGCAGGUUAGUGGCGGACGGGCGAGUAACACGUAGGCAACCUGCCUGUAAGACUGGGAUAACUUUCGGAAACGGACGCUAAGACCGGAUAGACAAGGGACCGGCAUCGGGACUUUGGGAAACACGGAGCGAUCUGUGGCUUACGGAUGGGCCUGCGGCACAUUAGCUAGUUGGUGGGGUAACGGCCUACCAAGGCGACGAUGCGUAGCCGACCUGAGAGGGUGAACGGCCACACUGGGGCUGAGACACGGCCCAGACUCCUACGGGAGGCAGCAGUAGGGAAUCUUCCGCAAUGGACGCAAGUCUGACGGAGCAACGCCGCGUGAGUGAAGAAGGUUUUCGGAUCGUAAAGCUCUGUUGCCAGGGAAGAACGGAUGGGAGAGUAACUGCUCCUGUCAUGACGGUACCUGAGAAGAAAGCCCCGGCUAACUACGUGCCAGCAGCCGCGGUAAUACGUAGGGGGCAAGCGUUGUCCGGAAUUAUUGGGCGUAAAGCGCGCGCAGGCGGAUUUGUAAGUCUGGUGUCUAAGACUGGGGCUCAACCCUGGAACGCACCGGAAACUGCAAGACUGGAGUGCAGGAGAGGAAAGUGGAAUUCCACGUGUAGCGGUGAAAUGCGUAGAGAUGUGGAGGAACACCAGUGGCGAAGGCGACUUUCUGGCCUGUAACUGACGCUGAG
rnacentral:rRNA from 1 species